ensembl:lncRNA
GCCAGGCACUAUUUAAUUGUUUUCACAGUUUAACCAACUUCACAGCAGAUACAGUAAAAACAAUGCAUUACAAUUUUUCUUUUUUUUUACAAAGUUCAGAGUUGAAACUCUUGAUUCUUAUCAGUUUAGAAGACAUCAGAGCACAAACAUCCAACGUGUUCAUUUUGCACAGAACACAUGAUUUUCAACGGAGGUUUUUUAUUAUCUUUUUUCUUUUAUUUUUAAGACUAUGGCUUUCAGAGUUCUACAUUAAAAAGAUUGCAAGCCAUGACACAGAGACACCUGUAUGAACCAUAUGCUAGAGUGCAAGCACAUUUCCUUUCAACACACAAGGACAAGUGCAACAUUUAUAUGAAGAUCCAGUAGACAUUAACAAUCACUGUACAGUCAUGAACUAUAAAACCUAUUAUUCAAAUCAACAUUAGUCUUCUCUUGGCAAGAGGUUUCUGAGAUUUUUUUCCCUAGAAAUUCUUCUAAACCAGUUUUUUUUUUUCCCCAUGACCUUACUACAGAACUUUUGUUCUCAAAGCCUAGAGCAUCUAAGAACCUUCUGAUAAUGAGGGUCACAAGUACCUCCCUUCUGAGCUUGUUAGUAUUACUCCUGCCAUCAGUGUCAAAAGAGUCAAAUCAGCUUUUAGCAGCAGAUGUACUAUUUUGUAUGAGGUAUACCAUUGUCAAAAAAACAUGGUGAAAUGCCUCCAUUUGCUUUCAUCUCUCCACAGACCUCAUAAAAUGAAAUAAUACAACAGACAAGAUAGAACAAAAGACAAGAGCUAUAAUUGAACAUUUUGUAACAUACUAGAGAAAUCUAAAUAUGCUAUUUAUUUAAAAAAACGGAGUGAUACCUGGUUCAUAUGAGUCCCUUGCUUUUAGAGUACUUUAAACAAAGGAAAAUAGAAAGGGGUAAAUAAUCUCCAAAAGGCAGGUCUUAAACUGCAUAUUGGAAAGUAAGGCAUCCAAAAACAAAGAGCAUACUAAAAAAAAUUAAAAACUUUAUUUAAUCUUUUAUUAUGGCAGCAAUAGAAUUCUGACAAGGAGAAGAAUCCAUCUACUCUGUGAAUGCAAUCACAAUAGCUUCUUCAGUACUGAAGAAAUUCUUUCCUCAAAUUUACACCACAGAAGGAAUUUUCAUGUUUACCUUUAGUGAUGCUUAUCUACAGUCAAUUUACAUUCUCCAUUGUUUUUAGUAAAAAUGAAAUGAAUCCACAAAAUCCAUCAAAUAAAGCCAUAAUUAUUUUUUGGAUUCUGAAUCUUUUCUGCAUUUUAACUCCACAAAACUUAAGAAAAAAAAGACACUUUUUGUUGCAUGAGAAAAAAAAAAAAAAGCUUCAUAAAAUGACAGUUGAGGCUUUUUUUUUUUUUUUAGAUCUUGCUCUUUAGUCUGCAUAUGGAAAUGCCUUUGUCGCUGCCAGAAUCAUUUCUACUAUACUCUCAAAGUCUCUGUCAUAUAUGAUUUAUACAAGAGUAUCAUCAGUUUGUUAUCUCUGAAGAUUUCUGGUUGAGUUAUGCUCAUUAAUAAUGCUGUCAAAUAUUAAGAUGAUGAUGAUAUCAGUGUUUUGCACUUACCUGGCAGACAGACUUCAUCAAAGUGGAGAAACAAAUAAUAUUCAAUUUAAUACCUGGAAUUGCUUUAGUUUUGGCAUUGCACACAAAACACGAUGAUACUUUAGGAGGGGCUGAAGAAGUCAUGGCUUAAUUACAUUAAAAGCCUGUGAGGAUACCUUGAUGUUUCUGGGUAAUUUAAUAUAAUAAUGAAUGAUUGCAUACCAAGGUUUUUGGAGAGGUACCAAAUAACUGAGUAGAACUGUAAAUAUCAGCACACUUAAAAUAUGAGCCCAGGCGUCUGAAAGGAAAAUUGAGAAAGGAGAAUAAAUCUUUAUCAAUAUGGUGUGUUUCACAUAUACUCCACAGAAGCACUGCUGAAAGUUACACAAUUUAUCUCAAUGUUCUUUAUUUUUAUCCAGUAAGUUACAACAAGGGCUUUCAUAUGUAAUUUUACAAGGAAUGCUGAUUCACAAUAUUGCAACAUUGUCCACUGGUGCCAAGAUGCUAUCAAAUCAAAUACAUGGUUUGAAUGUUCAUUUAAGCUAUUAAAAGUUCUAGAUUUGUUUAAAACAAUUUUCUUUUAAAGAAAGCAUUAGUAAGGGGCAAACUGUGAAUCCAAGAAAUAUAAUGUGGACUACAGAUGCUGGGGCAGAGAACUGCAAUAAGAGUGUAUGUGCAUUUAAAGCAGAAAGAGUAAUGAAACCUCAGUAUAAUAGACUCACAAUACAAAAAGUUAAUGUGUUAUUUUGGAAUGGUAUUCCUGUAAACUUACUAUUUAGAUCAAACAUUGUAACACAAACUGUAAAAACAAAAAAACAAAACAAAAAAAACACCUGCCUGUAAAAUUUCAUUACAGAAGGGUAAUAAUUAUAGAACUAUUAUUUAAUUAAUUAGAACCUGAAAUUAUAAACAGGUUGUUGUAGGAGGCGCUUGGUGGGGAUAUGUGCAGUAUGGAACAGGCCUCUCCCUAAGCAUAGUGAAAGGGUGCUGUUGUGCUAAGACGGACUGUCCUUGCGAACGAGUAAACAAGAUAAGAAGAAGGCAAAGGAAUGAGGAAACAAUAGGAGCCAAUAAGGAAUUGUGGUAAAGGGCUAAGAUCCAGUACAGAUGAGUCAGGACAGGACACGAUUGUUCAAGUAGGGUAUAUAAGCUGUGUAUAUUAGUGAAUAAACGCCAUUUUGCUACAUCCUCAUAUUGGUGUUUGUGUUGCUAUGGUCCUAGCGAGCUCUGAUCGCUAGCCCAUGACGGUGCGGCUUGGGACCAUGGUGGUUGCUGGCGGUAACAACAGGCAGUAUAUUUUUUCAAGACAGGCAUCACCAUAACAUUACCAGAUUCUGAACUCUCGGUUUCAUUUAACAGAAUAUUUAUGCUCUAUUGUAUAUAAAUUGUAACUAAAGGUAUCAUAAUGCAACCCUUGAUGUCCAUGAAAAAAGUCUGAACAUUCAUGGUGGGCAACAGCUGGGGGAAAAAAAAAAAAAAAAAA